rnacentral:rRNA from 1 species
UACGUAGGGCGCAAGCGUUAUCCGGAAUUAUUGGGCGUAAAGAGCUCGUAGGCGGUUUGUCGCGUCUGCCGUGAAAGUCCGAGGCUCAACUCCGGAUCUGCGGUGGGUACGGGCAGACUAGAGUGAUGUAGGGGAGACUGGAAUUCCUGGUGUAGCGGUGAAAUGCGCAGAUAUCAGGAGGAACACCGAUGGCGAAGGCAGGUCUCUGGGCAUUAACUGACGCUGAGGAGCGAAAGCAUGGGGAGCGAACAGGA